UACGAAGGGGGCUAGCGUUGCUCGGAAUUACUGGGCGUAAAGGGCGCGUAGGCGGCACUGUUAGUCAGGCGUGAAAUUCCUGGGCUCAACCUGGGGACUGCGCUUGAUACGGCAGAGCUUGAGGAUGGAAGAGGGUCGCGGAAUUCCCAAGUGUAGAGGUGAAAUUCGUAGAUAUUGGGAAGAACACCGGUGGCGAAGGCGGCGACCUGGUCCAUUACUGACGCUGAGGCGCGACAGCGUGGGGAGCAAACAGG
rnacentral:rRNA from 1 species